rnacentral:rRNA from 1 species
ACAAAAACCGGGCCCAGUUCAGAUUGUCGUCUGCAACUCGACGGCAUGAAGCUGGAAUCGCUAGUAAUGGCGCAUCAGCUACGGCGCCGUGAAUACGUUCCCAGGCCUUGUACACACCGCCCGUCACAUCAUGAAAGCCGGUUGUACCUGAAGCCGCCCCUUAAAAGGUGUCGAAGGUAUGGCUGGUGAUUGGGAUGAAGUCGUAACAAGGUAACCGUA